UUGUUCGUAAAAAACAUUUAUCGCUUCUUGGAGAAGAACCACUAAACGAGGUCCAAGUGCUUCGAAUUAUUAAUAACCUAAGCCUUAACUUGGACCCUAAUUUAUUUAGUGAAUUUGCUAAAAACGCGUCGCGUGUUCUACUCAAAACACUCGGUGAAAAAACAAAAAAAGCAAAAGAAACAAAGUGUGAAGACGGAAAAAGAAGAAAAAAGUUAACUGUGGCCACCAAAGCGCAGUCGACGUCGACUUCGCGCUGCUGGCGUUGUUUAUUUGUUGUUGGUUUUUUUUACGUGAGCGCAAAGCGAGUAUAAAAAAGGCAGGGCGAGAAGUGUGGACGGGGGAAAUGGGGGGGCGGGGCUAGCUCCAUUUCGUUUUCAUUUUCAUUCCCGAGCCACAACGUGCACACGAAAAUGUUCGCAAUAAACGGGAAAAUCUUAAGGCAAUAAUGAUGGCCAAAUAGAUAAUAACGGAGAAAAGAAAAGGAACGAACAAAUUUAAUAAUUCGACCAGCCACGAAUCCGCUGCUGCUGAGCGCUGCCGCCAGCGACCGAGGCAGAGAGGCAGCAAUCUUAUCGCCUAUAUGUUCAUGUUCCAGAGCCAAUUGAUGGCCGCUGUGCUUCUUCGGACCGAAAAAAAACGCUAAAAAACUGACUGAUGGGAUAUUGAUUCUUCUUCAGAAUUCAGAAAUCAAAAACAAAGAAGGACCGCAAGAAAAGCACGGUGAAAACGGUAUAUGAAAACAAGUGUGUGCGUGCGCGCGAGUUCGUCUGUGUGUGUGUGUGUGUGAAACACAGUUAUUGUUGUUGUGAAACGCAGUGAAAAAGUUGAGGCGAAAAGAUGACGGACUAUGUGGAGCUGAUGAACAGCAUGUCCAGCACAUUCAAUAGCGACUGUGCCACGAGCACGGCGGAGGGCGGCACCCUCUUGAACCUGGACCUGGCCGAGGACAAAACCCUCAAGUGGCGCAAUCUGGCCAACAAUCAGUUCGCCUGCAAGGACAAAAAGCAUAAGGAGGAGGAGCAGCGGGAUAAGGAGCAGCAGCUGGAACGGGCGCAGGAGAAACCCGAGGAAAUUGAGGAUAAUAUCAAGGAGCUGCUCGCCGAUGUUGUGGAUGCCGCUGCCGUAAAGCUGGAGGAGGAAGCAGCAGCAGCAGCAGCGGCGGCGGCAGAGGCAGAGUCAUCAGCUACACCGACGCAAGCAGCGCUCCAAGGCCAGAGUGUAGAGGGCGCAGAGGAAAAGGAGGCAACAUUGGCGGAGGAGCAGCAGCAAAGAGAGCGGGCCGUUGGAGACAGACAGGAGGAAGAGAGUGCAAAAGAGAGCGAUUACAAGCAGGCAAAGGAGCAAGAGGAGGACGAGGUGGAGCCACAGAAUACCACUAGCAUAACAGUAAAGGUGGAAAGCGAACUGGCAGAGAAAAGUGCAAAUGCAGCGACGUCGGCAGAGGACAGCAGCGGCAUCAAGACUGAGCAGCCCAAAGAGGCUGCAACACUGGGACAAGAAGAUGAUGAACAAGAUGAGGCAGCAAAAGCUAAAGCCAAAGCAAGCGCAGCUUCGAAAUCGCCAUCAAAAUCAGCAUCUCCACUUGUUGUCAAUUCUGCCAGCGUCGACGUCGUCGUCCCGGCUGACGCAACAGAUUCGAAUGUGGCCACCACCAGCAGCAGCAAUAACAAUAAUAGCAGUAACAUUGCCAUCACCAGCAGCAGCAGCGAGCCAGCAGCGACGCUGUCAGAGGCAGCAGCAGCAGCAGCAACAGCAGCUGAUAAAAACGAACAAGUUUCGCCUGGCGGAACGCGUCGUUCGCGCCGCACACCGCGACCCACAGACACACCUACUCCCACGUCCACGCCAACGCCAACUCCCACUCCGCGCGCCGAUGAACCAGCAGCACCCGUGGAUGCCACCGAACCCCUUGAGGAGGAGAUGCAAAUAGACGUGAGUGAGGAGGUGUCAGGUAUCGCUGAUGGUGCUGCCGUGGAGCUGGAGGUCAAGAAGGAGCCGGAGAAACCUUCACCUACCUCCCUGGAGGAAGUGCCAGCACCUGCGCCCAAGCGUGGACGAGGACGUGCCAAAAAGAUAAGGCCAGAGGGCGGCGAUAUUGAUGCCAUGGUCGAAGCGCCGCACCAGCAGCAGCAGCAGCAGGUCGUCGAGGAGGCGACCGUGGUGGAACGAAAGCCAGGACGAAAGCGGAAGCUGCCUGAGGAGCCUCUAGAUCAGCAGCUAGCUUCCGACCUGGUAAUGGUGGUAAAAACAGAGCACGAAGAACUGACAGAUCUGGGAAAUGCUCCCAGUGGCGACAGCAAAAGAAUGCGGCGCAGUGUACGCUUGGGGAAUCGCCAUACCGCCGAUGGGGCUACGUGGGAGGAGGUGAAGACAGAGAUAACGCCGCCUCCCGAGAGAGAUCUACCGCUGACGGAGAUCACCACGGUUUUGGUGCCGCCAGCCACUGUUCCGGACGAGAAGACGCCGCCCAAGAAAAGGGGACGCAAGGCCAAGAUUCAGCCAGGUGCGAAACUGGAGCCAGGAACUUCCACCUCAUCCUCCACGCUGCACACUCUGACCAAUGGGAGCAACAACAACAAGAACAAGGUUGGUCCUGGAGGAGCAGAAGUGCAACUGCCCAAGCGCUCCAAGAGGAGAAUCAAGCCCACGCCCAAGAUCCUGGAGAACGAUGAGCUGCGCUGCGAGUUCGAAACGAAGCACAUUGAGCGGAUGACGCACUGGGAAACCGCUGCAGCGGCAGCGGAUGGCGACUUUGAAACGUCACCGACCGGCGGCAAUGGCUCUAACUCGUCGACAUCCCGCCAGAAGAGCGACAAAUCGGAUGGCAGCAACUUUGAGGGCCUGCCAGGACAUCCAGCUGGUACGAGUGCCAUCAAGAAGCGACUCUUCUCCAAGUCCCAGCGCGACAUUGAGAACUAUGGUGCUGCCCAGCUGGCCAAGAGCAAGGUAAGGCCAUGCCCGGAUGUGGAGCAGUUCCUUAGCGACAUCAAGGCGUGCCGCUUCAAUGCGAAUCGUUCGCCCGAGGAGCGAAAGCUGAACAAGAAGCAGCAGCGGAAGCUGGCCAAGCAGAAGGAGAAACACCUAAAGCAUCUGGGCCUCCAGAGGAAUCACAGUGAGGAGGCCUCGGACAACGAUAGCUCCAAUACGGACAAUGAGUUUGUGCCCACCACCCGGGUGCAGGUGGGCAAGCCCAGUGUGACGCUGAGAGUGCGCAACACGGUCACCAAGGAAGGGCCCACGACAUCGUCGGCCGCUGCUGCUGCAGCUACUCUUAAAUCUCUCAAAGCAGCAGCCUCAAAUGUGGCUGUGCAGCCCCCCAAACUAACGCGCCGGGUGGGUGGUGUCCGGGGAGGAGUAGCUGCAGCAGCAGGAGCAGCAGCAGGUGGCGCCAUAUCCACCCUCGAUGCAGCACAGCUUCAUUCGCUGAACAGCUCCAUCCUGGCGGAUGCCAUGGAUGUGGAUGCUGCUGCCACGCCCAGCACCUCGAAGCUGGCCAAGUUCCUGUGCCUGUGCCAGAAGAGUUCGCAGUACUAUGCCCGGAAUGCCCCCGACUCGUCCUACUGCUGUGCCAUCGAUCACAUUGACGAGCAGAAGAUUGGCUGCUGCAAUGAGCUCUCCGCGGAGGUGCACAAUCUCCUGCGGCCCAGCCAGCGGGUGAGCUACAUGAUCCUCUGCGACGAGCACAAGAAGCGGCUGCACUCGCACAAUUGCUGUGCAGGAUGUGGCAUCUUUUGCACCCAGGGAAAAUUUGUGCUGUGCAAGCAGCAGCACUUUUUUCAUCCGGACUGCGCCCAGCGGUUUAUCCUGAACACUCCCUAUGACGAGGGUCGCAGCGGCGGCGGUGCCGAGCAGCAGCCGGGGGGCCCCAAGUUCAGCAGUCCCAUGCUGGUGCUAAAGUGCCCCCAUUGCGGGGUGGACACACCCGAACGCACCUCCACCGUGACCAUGAAGUGCCAGACGCUGCCCGUCUUUUUGCCCACUCAAAAGUACAAGAUCAAACCCGCCAAGCUGACCACCGCCUCGCAUUUGGCCCAGUUUGGUUCCGCCGGCAAAACCAGUCCAGGUGCCAAGGCCAAGGGCAAGGCCUCCUCCUCAUCCUCCUCCCCCGCCUCUGUAGUGGCGGCUACCAAAACAAAUGGAACACGGGGAGGAGGUGGCAAGGCUUGUACCAACUCCUCUGGCCAGGCUCUCAAUACGAUCAACUUUGCCCAGCUGAUACCCGACUCUGUGAUGAAUGUGGUGCUCCGGGGGCAUGUGGUUUCGGCCAGUGGACGCGUAACCACAGAGUUUACCUCACGGGACAUGUACUAUGCCGUGCAGAACGAUGAUCUAGAGCGAGUGGCUGAGAUUUUGGCUGCCGACUUCAAUGUGCUGACCCCCAUUCGGGAGUACCUGAAUGGCACUUGCCUGCAUCUAGUGGCCCACUCGGGCACCCUCCAGAUGGCCUACCUGCUGCUCUGCAAAGGAGCCAGCUCCCAGGAUUUUGUCAACAUUGUGGACAGCGAGCUGAGGACGGCAUUGAUGUGUGCGGUGAUGAACGAGAAGUGCGAUAUGCUGAAUCUUUUCCUGCAAUGCGGUGCCGAUGUGGCCAUUAAGGGACCCGAUGGCAAGACCUGCCUGCAUAUAGCCGCCAAGCUGGGCAAUGUGGAGGCCACGCAGCUGAUUGUGGAGAGCUAUCGGGCCUCGCGGAAUAUCACCAGCUUUUUGAGCUUCAUUGAUGCACAGGACGAGGGCGGAUGGACGGCCAUGGUGUGGGCAGCAGAGCUGGGACACACGGACAUUGUUAGCUUCCUCCUCAACCAGGAUGCCGAUCCAAACAUCUGCGACAAUGACAACAACACGGUGCUCCACUGGUCCACGCUGCACAACGAUGGCCUGGACACAAUCACAGUGCUGCUGCAGGCGGGCGCCGAUUGCAAUGUCCAGAAUGUGGAGGGUGACACGCCGCUCCACAUUGCCUGCCGCCAUGAGGUGACACGAAUGUGCAUAGCCCUGAUUGCCAACGGGGCCGAUUUGAUGAUCAAGAACAAGGCCGAGCAGCUGCCCUUUGACUGCAUACCCAACGAGGAGUCCGAAUGCGGACGCACCGUGGGCUUUAACAUGCAGAUGCGUAGCUUUCGCCCGCUGGGCCUGCGCACCCUGGUCGUGUGUGCAGAUGCCUCCAAUGGACGCGAGGCGCGUCCCAUUCAGGCGGUGCGCAACGAGCUGGCCAUGUCCGAGAGCGAGGAUGAGGCGGAUUCGCUGCUGUGGCCGGACUUUCGCUAUGUCACCCAGUGCAUCAUUCAGCAGAAUUCGGUGCAAAUCGAUCGCAGGGUCUCCCAGAUGCGCAUCUGCUCCUGUCCGGACAGCUGCAGCAGCGAUCGCUGUCAGUGCAAUGGAGCCUCUUCGCAGAAUUGGUACACUGCCGAAAGCAGGCUAACGGCAGACUUUAACUAUGAGGAUCCGGCGGUGAUUUUCGAGUGCAACGAUGUCUGUGGUUGCAAUCAGCUUUCCUGCAAGAAUCGCGUUGUACAGAAUGGCACACGAACUCCGCUGCAGAUUGUGGAGUGCGAGGAACAGGCCAAGGGCUGGGGCGUCAAAGCUUUGGCCAAUGUGCCCAAAGGCACCUUUGUGGCCAGCUAUACGGGCGAGAUACUCACCGCUCUAGAGGCGGAUCGCAGGACCGACGACAGCUACUACUUUGAUCUGGACAAUGGCCAUUGCAUAGAUGCCAAUUAUUAUGGCAAUGUGACGCGUUUUUUCAAUCACUCUUGCGAACCGAAUGUCCUGGCAGUGCGGGUGUUUUACGAGCACCAAGAUUAUCGUUUUCCCAAGAUUGCAUUCUUUGCAUGCCGCGACAUUGAUGCCGGCGAGGAGAUAUGCUACGAUUAUGGUGAGAAAUUCUGGCGGGCAGAGCAUCGUUCUAGCGCUGGCUGUCGCUGCCUUACGGCCUCGUGCAAGUACCCUGCCCCCUCCCAGUCGCCCAGCACAAAUGCCUCGCCCACAGAGGCAGCCACUGCUGCGGGCUCAUUGGAUUUGGAUACAGCUGCCGAUGACAACUCGAAACUCUAAAUUAUUCCAGGAUAGCAACUCCUACAUACGUACUCCCCACCAAGCUAGACAGAUAACACACAUCACACACACAAACACACACUCUCAGCAUCACCUGGAACUUUCGCCAUAUAUAGAUAGUAGGGAGUAUGCAUGAAGAAUCGAAAUUUGGAGCCCAUCUCUCCUUCGACUGCCAAAUGUUUCAACGACUUUCCAUCACGAAAGGACCAACGACACACGCAAAAGGAUGGUGAUAACGAGAGCGUGCACAGCGAUCUGCGAAGCAAUAGUUCAUCCUAGUCAUCAUUGUAAUUGUUGAUUGAUGAUCAUCGGAUCGGCAGAGGUGAAGCUGGAGGAGCAAGCAGCUGGGAUGGCGGAGCUCAAGCGGAUGGCAGUUGUCGGAUAUUGGCUCCGGGCUAGUUGAAGCCCAGCAGGCGCAAAGU